AAAGAAUCAGACGAAGGAGAAACUGAGAGAGUGGGUGCAUUUUUUUCUUUUUCUCUUCGUUCUCUUUCUUCUUUUUCUCUUUCUUCUUCUUCUUUUCUUUCUU
rnacentral:ribozyme from 13 species